ACUUUUUUAUUAUAAAAAUUAUAGUUGAUUUCCAAUCAAAAGAUCUUGAUUGAUCAAGAAAAAGUA
rnacentral:tRNA from 1 species